AGAUGAUUGUAAAGGAGCUAUUGGGAUUGAAACCAAGAGCUCUUAACACGGGGACCAAAGAUUGAAAAUCCCCCUGGAUGCAAUG
rnacentral:snoRNA from 1 species